UACGUAGGGGGCUAGCGUUGUCCGGAAUCAUUGGGCGUAAAGCGCGUGUAGGCGGCCCGAUAAGUCCGCUGUGAAAGUCCAGGGCUCAACCCUGGGAUGCCGGUGGAUACUGUCGGGCUCGAGUCCGGAAGAGGCGAGUGGAAUUCCUGGUGUAGCGGUGAAAUGCGCAGAUAUCAGGAGGAACACCAGUGGCGAAGGCGGUUGCCUGGAGCUUUGCUGACGCUGAGGCGCGAAAGCGUGGGGAGCGAUCCGG
rnacentral:rRNA from 1 species